rnacentral:rRNA from 1 species
UAAUUCCGUGUUCGCUUUCUUCUGAACUUACGGACUAGGGCUCAGCCAGAGUAUGAUGAGGGUGCCGAGUUAGGUUGGUUGCCGUGACAUCGACCACAAGAGCGAAAAUGUGCAGAAGGUGAUCAAUGCGUAUAUGAAAUAUCUGAAAGAUGAUUUGGGUUACACCGGAUUCCGCUAAGCAACGGUGAAUACGAUGGCCCUUACGUCCAGGGCUACACACGUGCUACAAUGGGGUAUACAAAGAGCAGCAAUACGGUGACGUGGAGCAAAUCUCAAAAAUGCCUCCCAGUUCGGAUUGUAGUCUGCAACUCGACUACAUGAAGUUGGAAUCGCUAGUAAUCGUAGAUCAGCUAUGCUACGGUGAAUACGA